rnacentral:misc_RNA from 1 species
UUAGUGAUGAUGAUGAUCAUCUGCCAUAGCGGAAUGACUCAGGCAAAUUAUUGAUUUGAUGCAUGGUUUGAAUGUGAGCAAGGUUUGGAACAACUCCCCUUCGCAUAGCAUUCCAAGGCCGCGAGUCCCACACAAACAGGCAAGUAGGUAUCUAGCAGGUAGCCCUAACUCUUAUAAGGACAACGAAAUAGGAGAGUGUGUAGCAUCCAAGGGAAUCCGGAAUAGAAAAGCCGAAAGGUAGGGUUUAUAGAAGAAGAAAAAUAAUAUGCAUGGGAAAAGGGAGAGCGAUUGAAGCGAAAGUGGUUGAGUAAAUCUUCUGUUUGCCCUUCACCUCUCCAAAUUCAAUACCGCCGCCCGUCAUGUGAUUGGGAAAAUUUUGCACAAGCCACCGAUUGUUAAAGUAAUGGUAAAGAUAUGAUACCG